CCUACGGGGUGCAGCAGUGGGGAAUAUUGGACAAUGGGCGAAAGCCUGAUCCAGCCAUGCCGCGUGUGUGAAGAAGGCCUUCGGGUUGUAAAGCACUUUCAGUGGGGAAGAAAGCCUUGGGGCUAAUACCCUCGAGGAAGGACAUCACCCACAGAAGAAGCACCGGCUAACUCCGUGCCAGCAGCCGCGGUAAUACGGAGGGUGCGAGCGUUAAUCGGAAUUACUGGGCGUAAAGCGCGCGUAGGCGGUCUGAUAAGCCGGUUGUGAAAGCCCCGGGCUCAACCUGGGAACGGCAUCCGGAACUGUCAGGCUAGAGUGCAGGAGAGGAAGGUAGAAUUCCCGGUGUAGCGGUGAAAUGCGUAGAGAUCGGGAGGAAUACCAGUGGCGAAGGCGGCCUUCUGGACUGACACUGACGCUGAGGUGCGAAAGCGUGGGUAGCAAACAGGAUUAGAUACCCCAGUAG
rnacentral:rRNA from 1 species